GCACAAGCGGUGGAGCAUGUGGUUCAAUUCGACGCAACGCGAAGAACCUUACCUGGGCUCGAAGCGUAGUGGACCGGGGUAGAAAUACUCUUUUCCCGCAAGGGACUGCUACGUAGGUGCUGCAUGGCUGUCGUCAGCUCGUGUCGUGAGAUGUUGGGUUAAGUCCCGCAACGAGCGCAACCCUUAUUGUCAGUUGCCAUCAUUCAGUUGGGCACUCUGGCGAAACCGCCUCGGAUAACGGGGAGGAAGGUGGGGAUGACGUCAAGUCCUCAUGGCCUUUAUGUCCAGGGCCACACACGUGCUACAAUGGUUGGUACAAACCGUCGCAAACCCGCGAGGGGGAGCUAAUCGGAAAAAGCCGGCCUCAGUUCGGAUCGCAGUCUGCAACUCGACUGCGUGAAGCUGGAAUCGCUAGUAAUCGCGGAUCAGAACGCCGCGGUGAAUACGUUCCCGGGC
rnacentral:rRNA from 1 species